CGGACGGGUGAGUAAUGUCUGGGAAACUGCCUGAUGGAGGGGGGUAACUACUGGAAACGGUAGCUAAUACCGCAUAACGUCGCAAGACCAAAGCGGGGGACCUCCGGGCCUCGCGCCAUCAGAUGAACCCAUAUGGGAUUAGCUAGUAGGUAAGGUAACGGCUUACCUAGGCGACGAUCCCUAGCUGGUCUGAGAGGAUGACCAGCCACACUGGAACUGAGACACGGUCCAG
rnacentral:rRNA from 1 species